rnacentral:sRNA from 1 species
AAAAAAGGAAGAAAAAAA